ACUCCUGCGGGAGGCAGCAGUGGGGAAUUUUGGACAAUGGGCGAAAGCCUGAUCCAGCAAUGCCGCGUGAGUGAAGAAGGCCUUCGGGUUGUAAAGCUCUUUUGUCAGGGAAGAAACGGUGAGAGCUAAUAUCUCUUGUUAAUGACGGUACCUGAAGAAUAAGCACCGGCUAACUACGUGCCAGCAGCCGCGGUAAUACGUAGGGUGCAAGCGUUAAUCGGAAUUACUGGGCGUAAAGCGUGCGCAGGCGGUUUUGUAAGUCUGAUGUGAAAUCCCCGGGCUCAACCUGGGAAUUGCAUUGGAGACUGCAAGGCUAGAAUCUGGCAGAGGGGGGUAGAAUUCCACGUGUAGCAGUGAAAUGCGUAGAUAUGUGGAGGAACACCGAUGGCGAAGGCAGCCCCCUGGGUCAAGAUUGACGCUCAUGCACGAAAGCGUGGGGAGCAAACAGGAUUAGAAACCCUUGUAGUCCCA
rnacentral:rRNA from 1 species